UUGCUUGCCUGGCAGGAGCAAUACCGUGAUCAUGAAGGUGGUUUUCCUAGGGCAAGGCUUAUCCAUUGCACUUCUGAUGUGCUGACCCCUGCGAUUUCCCCAAAUAUGGCAAACUCAUCUGCAUAAUUCAUUGUGAGGGACAGUUCUCCCACUCUCCCCUA